UGGGUCCGGCCCGUCUUUCAACGGCGUAAAGAAGAAGGACUUUACUAUACGGCUAUGCAACGAAUGCGUCAGGGUGACCAUGGAUUUUUCUAUAAGUUCUUCCACAUGACGCCGCAGCUUUUUGACAAGCUAUUGAGCUUUGUCGCAGAGGACCUCACACGGCAGCACCACAUUCGAGAACCCCUGGAGCCUGGAGAACGACUUGCUAUAGCAUUGAGCUACUUGGCAUCCGGGCAAGACAUAAAAGACGUUGCCUUGGCUUACCGUGUGGGGAUUGAGACGGCUAGAGUGUGCAUUCAUGUGGCCUGUCGAGCAAUCUGGGCAAGGCAAGGC